AUUGAACGCUGGCGGCAGGCCCAACACAUGCAAGUCGAACGAGUGGCGGACGGGUGAGUAAUGUCUGGGAAACUGCCUGAUGGAGGGGGAUAACUACUGGAAACGGUAGCUAAUACCGCAUACCAUCGGAUGUGCCCAGAUGGGAGUAGCUAGUAGGUGGGGUAAAGGCUCACCUAGGCGACGAUCCCUAGCUGGUCUGAGAGGAUGACCAGCAACACUGGAACUGAGACACGGUCCAAACUCCUACGGGAGGCAGCAGUGGGGAAUAUUGCACAAUGUGCGCAAGCCUGAUCCAGCCAUGCCGCGUGGGUGACAAAUGUCUUCGGAUUGUAAAGCACUUUACGUUGGGGGGCGUUACCAACAGAAUAAGCACCGGCUAUCUUCGUGCCAGCAGCCGCGGUAAUUC
rnacentral:rRNA from 1 species